rnacentral:rRNA from 1 species
CGGAGGAAAAGAAACUAACAAGGAUUCCCCUAGUAACGGCGAGUGAAGCGGGAAGAGCUCAAAUUUGAAAUCUGGCACUUUCAGUGUCCGAGUUGUAAUCUCGAGAAGUGUUUUCCGCGCUGGACCGCAUAUAAGUCUGUUGGAAUACAGCGUCAUAGUGGUGAGAACCCCGUAAAUGAUGCGGACGCCCAGUGCUUUGUGAUACACUUUCGAAGAGUCGAGUUGUUUGGGAAUGCAGCUCAAAUUGGGUGGUAAAUUCCAUCUAAAGCUAAAUAUUGGCGAGAGACCGAUAGCGAACAAGUACCGUGAGGGAAAGAUGAAAAGCACUUUGGAAAGAGAGUUAACAGUACGUGAAAUUGUUGGAAGGGAAACGCUUGAAGUCAGACUUGCUGUUUGGAAUUCAGCCGCAAGGUGUACUUUUCAGAUAUGCAGGCCAGCAUCAGUUUUUGGGGGUGAAAAAGGGUAUUGAGAAGGUAGCAGUUUCGGCUGUGUUAUAGCUCUUUACUGGAUUCAUCCUUGGGGACUGAGGAACGCAGCUCACUUUUUGCACGACCCUCGGGUUGUUCUGAGCUUAGGAUG